rnacentral:rRNA from 1 species
AAUCUGGUUGAUCCUGCCAGAGGCGACCGCUUUUGGAGUUCGAUUAAGCCAUGCGAGUAGAAAGAAAUUAGAUUCUUUGCAAACUGCUCAGUAACACGUGGAUAACCUGCCCUAUGCUCCGGAAUAACCUCGGGAAACUGAGAAUAAUACCGGAUAGAUCACAACGCCUGGAACGGUGUGUGGUUCAAAGGUCACGGCAUAGGAUGGGUCUGCGGCGUAUCAGGUCGUAGGGGGUGUAACGGACCUCCUAGCCAUCGACGCGUACGGGUGUUGGGAGACAUAGCCCGGAGAUGGAUUCUGAGACACGAAUCCAGACCCUACGGGGUGCAGCAGGCGCGAAAACUUCACACUGCAGGAAACUGUGAUGAGGGAAC